CGCGUGUCAAAUUCGGUAGCUGAAGAUCAUUCUAUUGGUCUGCCUUUCAUAUAUAUUUUAGAUUCCAUUAAGCUCGACUAGUAGGGAAACCUAAGAUUCUUGACUAGUGUAUCAGACAUUUCAAAGUUGCUAGAAAAAAUAGAAUUAUUAUUUUAGGCCUGUACGUAUGCGUAGUACGUAGUACAAUUACAAGAAGAAACUAAUCACGUAGCAGACUAGUGUUGUACCAACAUGCUGAAAUUCUUGAAAAAGAUUGCUUUUAUACUUAUGGUUGUUACAACUCUCGGAAACUUUGUGAUAUUUUUUCAUCAGAUGGAUUACAUUGACUUACACCGUCCAUCAACAGAUAACAGACUGAUUGGAAGGCAGUUGGAAAUAGAGAG